GGACCCGCACAAGCGGUGGAGCAUGUGGUUUAAUUCGAAGCAACGCGAAGAACCUUACCAGGUCUUGACAUCCUUUGACCACUCUAGAGAUAGAGCUUUCCCUUCGGGGACAAAGUGACAGGUGGUGCAUGGUUGUCGUCAGCUCGUGUCGUGAGAUGUUGGGUUAAGUCCCGCAACGAGCGCAACCCUUAUUACUAGUUGCCAGCAUUUAGUUGGGCACUCUAGUGAGACUGCCGGUGACAAACCGGAGGAAGGUGGGGAUGACGUCAAAUCAUCAUGCCCCUUAUGACCUGGGCUACACACGUGCUACAAUGGAUGGUACAACGAGUCGCAAGGUCGCGAGGCCAAGCUAAUCUCUUAAAACUAUUCUCAGUUCGGAUUGUAGGCUGCAACUCGUCUACAUGAAGCCGGAAUCGCUAGUAAUCGCGGAUU
rnacentral:rRNA from 1 species